rnacentral:lncRNA from 1 species
GGAGUGGAAAAGUCUUUGGAGAAGUUUUUGGGGGCCUGGCUGGCACAUGGGAUCCACUCUGCUCUCCAGGAAGCGUAUGCCAUCUUCUAGUUCGCAUUUCUGCACCAAGGCAGUGGCAGGUGGCCCGAAGAGUGAGUGGGAAGCAAUAAUCAGCUCUCCAACGCUUCAGCAUGGAAGGGAUCUCAAAUGUCAUUCAGAAUGGCCUCCGCCACACCUUUGGAAAUUCAGGUGGAGAGAAACAGUAUUUGACUACAGUCAUUCCUUAUGAGAAAAAAAACGGACCACCGUCUGUUGAAGAUCUUCAAAUAUUAACAAAAAUUCUUCGUGCCAUGAAGGAGGACAGUGAAAAAGUUCCGAGCUUGUUAACUGAUUAUAUUCUGAAAGUUCUGUGUCCUACAUAGAGCAGCAACUUUAUCUGCGGUGGGCUCCAAGCUAGAUUUCCGACAGCAUUAUUCUGAGAGCUGGCUACCAUUACCCUUCUUGCUAUUGGAAACUCAGCACAUUUGAACUUGGGUUUGAUUCAGUAUUAACAGAUCUUGACUACACUAAUUCUUUAUAUUAUAGAACCAACGGAAAUAUGGGCACUAUUUUGAAUUCUAGAGAUGGUUUUUGUUAAAUCUACUAAUAAACUGUUCUCUUAGUAGAUUAAGAGAGAGUAAUAUUAAUUGUGCAUGUGCAGUUGUAUUUCUCAUUAACUGACAGUAUGCCCAUUUGUUUUUAUGGCUUUCUUAUCUAAACUGCACUGAUGAACUAGAUUAAAGCCUUGGGAGAUUUAUACUAU